rnacentral:rRNA from 1 species
AGGGUGUAAACGCUGCAGACUUGGUGUUGGAAGUCCUUUGGGGGCAUUCAGUGCCGGAGAGAAGUUGUUAAGUCUGCUACUCGGGGAGUACGUCCGCAAGGAUGAAACUUAAAGGAACUGGCGGGGGAGCACCGCAACGGGAGGAGCGUGCGGUUUAAUUGGAUUCAACACCGUAAACUCACCAGGGAAGACUGUUACAUGAAAGCCGAGAUGAAGACUCUGCUAGAUUUUCAGAGAGGUGGUGCAUGGCGUCAGUGACU